rnacentral:rRNA from 1 species
ACGACUGCGGUCUUUGGGCCACCUCCCAUCCGUGUCUAUUGUACCCUGUUGCUUCGGCGGGCCCGCCGCUUGUCGGCCGCCGGGGGGGCGCCUCUGCCCCCCGGGCCCGUGCCCGCCGGAGACCCCAACACGAACACUGUCUGAAAGCGUGCAGUCUGAGUUGAUUGAAUGCAAUCAGUUAAAACUUUCAACAAUGGAUCUCUUGGUUCCGGCAUCGAUGAAGAACGCAGCGAAAUGCGAUAACUAAUGUGAAUUGCAGAAUUCAGUGAAUCAUCGAGUCUUUGAACGCACAUUGCGCCCCCUGGUAUUCCGGGGGGCAUGCCUGUCCGAGCGUCAUUGCUGCCCUCAAGCCCGGCUUGUGUGUUGGGUCGCCGUCCCCCUCUCCGGGGGGACGGGCCCGAAAGGCAGCGGCGGCACCGCGUCCGAUCCUCGAGCGUAUGGGGCUUUGUCACAUGCUCUGUAGGAUUGGCCGGCGCCUGCCGACGUUUUCCAACCAUUCUUUCCAGGUUGACCUCGGAUCAGGUAGGGAUACCCGCUGAACUUAAGCAUAUCAU